rnacentral:lncRNA from 1 species
UAAAUUGACUAAAAAUCCCCAUCUACCACAUCAUAUGAGUAUAGAAUGCAAAGAGAAAUCCUUAUUAGCUGGCUAUGUAUUACACGUUAAUUACAAAGCAGGACAUGGCCAAUGUUUAACCCUUUUUCAACUGAUUCCCAGGCAUAGCUUUUUGUUUUUGGCUUGCCUGCCACAUGAGUUGCUCCUAGCAAAAUAGAAGUAGCUAGGGUU